rnacentral:lncRNA from 1 species
CAGGAUCUAACAACCAAACUCACAUGCCUUUCGCACAAUCUGAUGCAAAAACAGUAAUCUGGAUCCACCGUCAAUCUUAACGGCACUCGUCAAACCGGAACAGCCUAAACACUGCUGUAAAAAUAAGUUCGGCAUCUCAGCACGAGCGUAAAUGCAUUCUACACUAAUCAGGGUAUCCACCACCCACAAACUGCGGCGAUACAAAUAAAUUACGGCUCCCAGAGCUAAAUCUGGCAGUUUUAACAUAUGACGGUGUAGAAACGCAAGUUUU